rnacentral:misc_RNA from 1 species
CCGAGUUUACAACUCCCAAACCCAAUGUGAACGUUACCAAACUGUUGCCUCGGCGGGGUCACGCCCCGGGUGCGUAAAAGCCCCGGAACCAGGCGCCCGCCGGAGGAACCAACCAAACUCUUUCUGUAGUCCCCCUCGCGGACGUAUUCCUUACAGCUCUGAGCAAAAAUUCAAAAUGAAUCA